CCAGAUGUUUUUCCUGUGAUGUGUGGCAGUAUAUGGUUUGUCUCUCUGUUAGUUGUUUUCUGUUUGAGGAAGAACAUUAAAAGGAAUGAUUCCCUUAUCCUUUGUCCUACCUCCCGCACCGUGACAGCAUUAGCUUGCUAUGUUCUGUUCCAGAAUCUCCUGUUAUACUUCAGAAUCAUUGUUCCCUUAAUAAUGUGCAGCUGCAGAUCUUGACAUUCCCACUACUACGCUUGACUGUUGGGAUGAAGUUCUUUGAUACUAGGCAGUGUUGUUUGCACCAAAAAUAGAUUUUUAUUUUGUGACCAAAAAGCAUUUUUAUGUACUGGAUUUUCCAAUAUUUCAACACUGCUCGGGCAAAUUUCCUGAACUACUGAACUAUGAACCAAUCCUGCUGGCCCUUAGCUUCCAGGAAACAUCCCACUGCUCUCUUGACUCUCCCAAUACCCACUCUGCUCCAACAAGUUCCAAAAAGGAGACAAGAACUGAGGAGCACACAGCUAAGAGCCCACCGGUGUGUGGGCAUGUACUCUCCUGUGUGUGUUUCAGUGUGGGUGGGUUGUUGCAUGAGCAUAGGAGAAACAUUACUUCAGAAUCCGUUAUCAUCUUAGCCUAUACUGUAAAAUAAUGAUGGGCAACAAAAUAACUAGAGACAAUUUAAAAAAGUAGCUUGUAGUCUCGCUAGUUUUUUUUGCAAGCUAAGCAUUAUUGUUAUCGCCAGUUGGGUUUCCGCCUACUUUAAAAAUACUUUAAUAGCUGAAUUGACAAACAACUUCAAUGUUGUCUGUAUACAGUGCAGUUAUUUUACUUGGUGCCUUGAUCAGGAGCACCUCGGUAGGAGAUGUUAAAACUAUGGCAUCAGAGACCAGCAGUCUUCUACCUCUAGAUGGGUUACUAAUAGACACCAGCCAUUAUUAUGAAAAUCUGUCGUCCGGGGAUGGGGAUGUAGGGUCGAGGGGGAUUAAAGAGCCUUGACACCCGAGCCUUAGUAAAAGAGCUCCUGUACUUAUUUCUAGCACUGUCUGCUUCUAUGUAAACACAACCUCACAUGAAAUUGCGAGCUGCUGUUGGUGUGAGAUGAGAAAUCUAGCACUGUGAAAACCAAGAGCUUUGAAACACCAAAACUAGUAUCAACUCAUCUGCCACCAAGUAUUGAAACAAAACAUUCUGGGAUUGUUUUUAAAUGUAUGAUGUAAAACCACCUAAUACAGAAUGAAUGACAAACGAAUGUCAUUUUUAAAUAAAUAAACCUCAGAAACAGUU